rnacentral:rRNA from 2 species
UCAGAUUGAACGCUGGCGGCAGGCCUAACACAUGCAAGUCGAACGGUAACAGGAAGCAGCUUGCUGCUUCGCUGACGAGUGGCGGACGGGUGAGUAAUGUCUGGGAAACUGCCUGAUGGAGGGGGAUAACUACUGGAAACGGUGGCUAAUACCGCAUAACGUCGCAAGACCAAAGAGGGGGACCUUCGGGCCUCUUGCCAUCAGAUGUGCCCAGAUGGGAUUAGCUUGUUGGUGAGGUAACGGCUCACCAAGGCGACGAUCCCUAGCUGGUCUGAGAGGAUGACCAGCCACACUGGAACUGAGACACGGUCCAGACUCCUACGGGAGGCAGCAGUGGGGAAUAUUGCACAAUGGGCGCAAGCCUGAUGCAGCCAUGCCGCGUGUAUGAAGAAGGCCUUCGGGUUGUAAAGUACUU